AGUCGAACGAGCUUCCGUUGAAUGACGUGCUUGCACUGAUUUCAACAAUGAAGCGAGUGGCGAACUGGUGAGUAACACGUGGGGAAUCUGCCCAGAAGCAGGGGAUAACACUUGGAAACAGGUGCUAAUACCGUAUAACAACAAAAUCCGCAUGGAUUUUGUUUGAAAGGUGGCUUCGGCUAUCACUUCUGGAUGAUCCCGCGGCGUAUUAGUUAGUUGGUGAGGUAAAGGCCCACCAAGACGAUGAUACGUAGCCGACCUGAGAGGGUAAUCGGCCACAUUGGGACUGAGACACGGCCCAAACUCCUACGGGAGGCAGCAGUAGGGAAUCUUCCACAAUGGACGAAAGUCUGAUGGAGCAAUGCCGCGUGAGUGAAGAAGGGUUUCGGCUCGUAAAACUCUGUUGUUAAAGAAGAACACCUUUGAGAGUAACUGUUCAAGGGUUGACGGUAUUUAACCAGAAAGCCACGGCUAACUACGUGCCAGCAGCCGCGGUAAUACGUAGGUGGCAAGCGUUGUCCGGAUUUAUUGGGCGUAAAGCGAGCGCAGGCGGUUUUUUAAGUCUGAUGUGAAAGCCUUCGGCUUAACCGGAGAAGUGCAUCGGAAACUGGGAGACUUGAGUGCAGAAGAGGACAGUGGAACUCCAUGUGUAGCGGUGGAAUGCGUAGAUAUAUGGAAGAACACCAGUGGCGAAGGCGGCUGUCUAGUCUGUAACUGACGCUGAGGC
rnacentral:rRNA from 1 species